rnacentral:rRNA from 1 species
ACAGCUCAGAUUUGAAAUCUGGUCCCCAGGGCCCGAGUUGUAAUCUGUAGAGGAUGUUUCUGGCAAGGCGCCGUCCGAGUUCCCUGGAACGGGACGCCGGAGAGGGUGAGAGCCCCGUACAGGCGGACGCCGAGCCUCUGUGAAACUCCUUCGACGAGUCGAGUAGUUUGGGAAUGCUGCUCAAAGCGGGAGGUAAAUUUCUUCUAAAGCUAAAUAUAGGCCAGAGACCGAUAGCGCACAAGUAGAGUGAUCGAAAGAUGAAAAGCACUUUGAAAAGAGGGUUAAAAAGCACGUGAAAUUGUUGAAAGGGAAGCGCCUGUGACCAGACUCGCGCCCGGCGUAUCAUCCGGCGUUCUCGCCGGUGCACUACGCCGGGCUCGGGCCAGCAUCGGUUCUGGUGGGGGGAUAAAGGCGGCGGGGAUGUGGCUCCCCCGGGAGUGUUAUAGCCCGCCGCUCAAUGCCCUCGCCGGGACCGAGGACCGCGCAUUGCAAGGAUGCUGGCGUAAUGGUCACCAGCGACCCGU